rnacentral:rRNA from 1 species
ACACAUGCAAGUCGAACGGUGAAGCCCAGCUUGCUGGGUGGAUCAGUGGCGAACGGGUGAGUAACACGUGAGCAACCUGCCCUCCACUUCGGGAUAAGCCUUGGAAACGGGGUCUAAUACCGGAUAUGAGCACUCAUCGCAUGGUGGGUGUUGGAAAGUUUUUCGGUGGGGGAUGGGCUCGCGGCCUAUCAGCUUGUUGGUGGGGUGAUGGCCUACCAAGGCGUCGACGGGUAGCCGGCCUGAGAGGGCGACCGGCCACACUGGGACUGAGACACGGCCCAGACUCCUACGGGAGGCAGCAGUGGGGAAUAUUGCACAAUGGGCGAAAGCCUGAUGCAGCGACGCCGCGUGAGGGAUGACGGCCUUCGGGUUGUAAACCUCUUUCAGCAGGGAAGAAGCGCAAGUGACGGUACCUGCAGAAGAAGCGCCGGCUAACUACGUGCCAGCAGCCGCGGUAAUACGUAGGGCGCAAGCGUUGUCCGGAAUUAUUGGGCGUAAAGAGCUCGUAGGCGGUCUGUCGCGUCUGGUGUGAAAUCCCGAGGCUCAACCUCGGGCUUGCAUCGGGUACGGGCAGACUAGAGUGCGGUAGGGGAGACUGGAA